AUUUUUUUUUUUUUUUUUUUUUAAUAUGGAAGACGGAAAGCCCGAGGCUGCUCUAAGAGAACCCAUCAAUUCCCGUAACAAAAGUUUAAUAAAAGUUGUUUUCCCAGUUUGAAUAAAACCGAAUGGUUCUAUAACCUAUUAACAAUCAUCAAUUGUACCCAUUGAAACAACAUGGUGGUGUUGCCAAGUAUAUGCAAUCAUAACAUGGAUUAAAAACGCAGCUCAUAAAAAUAUUAUAUAGUCCAACCUAAACCCUAAUAGGUUUUAAUCAUAUAACCAAUGGCUCUGAUACCACAUGUAAACUUUAUGUGGUUAUAUAAUUAAAACACAAACGAAGGAAUUUUAGCUAACCUGAUCAUGAAGCGAUAGCCAUUGGAGAUCAAACGGAGAAGAUGAAGGAUGCGGCAACACCAAAGUCUUCUACAAAGCACCUAGCCGGAUACAACUACUUUAUGGGAAGUGUUUGUUGUGUCUCUAGGGUUUGCAGGGACCUUAGUAUUUAUGCUGGCUAAGGCAUUAAGGUUCCAUCCAUAAAGGAAUCCCAAAUCCCACUUUUUAGCCUAUCAGUUAGGUAUCAUAAUCACAUAAAAUCAAGGACUCCAUCAAUCUUACUUGUAUUACAAGACACCUAAUAUAAGAUUGAUAUCUUUAGGAAAUAAAUCACAAUAUCUACAUUAAUCUCCAAUAUUACAUUCCUAUUAUAUGUUGUAGACCGUUGAUUUACAUCAGAAUAAAUCCAACAAUUUCUUGCUCUACUUAUCUUUGCUCUCAAAUCUUAAUCAAACAACCUACACUGAUUUUUCUUCCUUUUCCUGCUCGCCAUGUGUUUGUAGGAGAUUAUGUAGUAGUUAAUUUUACCUCCAACCGCUUGUUGGUCUUGUUGGUCUUGUGGUUGGUAGUUGAACCUACGCAGGGCAAUUCAAAGGAAGGAUCGUACAUUACAAUUUGGACCAAUAAGAAGGCGCCAGUUAGCCAUCGAGUUGUCGUACUUUCAGUGAAUUCAAAUGUAUUUAUAUCCGGUCUAUGAAGAUUAUGUAAAUCCUCAAAUUGUGUUCGUUUAUUGUAUAUCGUGCGGUUAAUUUUUGUUAAAUACUAUUCAUAUUUAAUUUUAAAAAAAAGUAUUUAAAAUGAUUUCUGACCGCACGAUGUAUGAUGAACGAACAUGAUUUAAGGAUCCCCAAGAUCCUUAUUCGUAUUUAUAUGAUCAUCACGAUGAAGAUUGAACUUUUUCCAGUAUUUCCGAUCUCAGACAAAAUGGGAAACAUUUAAAGGUUUUAAUGCUGAAGCUGAAAGCUAGCGGGAAGUUAAUUUAUGUGCUGACAACAACCAAAAUUUGCAGUGGCAGCCAACUCUCAUUAAGCAUGCAUGCAGUUGUAUAAGCAAUACCAUUCUGACUCUCUGCAUUUAGAUGUUGUGAAUUUACUUGAGGAUCUCUGAGUCUCUGGAUUUAAAAUUUGUGUUUACCCGCAUUUCGUAGAAUCUUGGCCAUCUUGUCAAUCUAAUGACUUAAAGAAAGCCACAAAUAAGGAUAUGUUUGGUACUCUCCUUGAAUCCAACUUUUUAAACUCAAAAAACAGUUUUCAAGUUUUAGACCUUAAAAACUUGUUUGGUAUUACUAUUUUAAAAAACUAAACUAAAAAAUAUAGUCUAUUAUCUAAAAACAUAAAAAAAAAGUUUUUAGAGUUUUUAAACUUACACACUCUUUUCUUUUCUCUCCAUCCUCCCCUCUCACUCCAAAUCUAUCUCUCUUUUCUUCUUUCUCUUUCCUUAUUUUCCUUUAUUUUAUUUUAUAACCUUUUUCAUCUAUUUUCCAAUCCGCUCUCUUUAUUCUCUCGGUUAUUUCUCUCACUCCUCUUCCUCUCUAUCCCUUCUUUCUCUUUCCUUCAAUAAUCUCUUACUUUCUUUUCUCUUCUCUCCUCUUUCUCCCUCUCCUCAGAUCCCCUUUUUUUAGAUCUCAUUGUCUAGUUUAAAUCGUAAACCAAUCAAGUUUUUGAGUCUUAAAAAAAAUUGUUUUCAAUACAUGUUCUUUAGAAAUGUUUUGAGAAAUGAUAAAAAAAUUCAAAUAGAAUACCAAACAGAAUCUAAGAUUCUUUGUAAUGUGCAUAAAUGCAGAGACUCAAGUUCAAAACAAUAAGGUGGAUCAAAAUGACUAGAUAUCAAUAAACAAAAGCUAAUUAUAUAUAAGUUUUUAAUUAUAGAAGCCUUCCAGUAGAUAUGUAGCUAGGCAAGUAGUACUAAUGUUGAAUAUUAGAGGGUUUGUAACCAACUCUCCCUCUAAUAUUCAAGUGUUAUUGUCUCCCUCCUUUGUGUUUUAUUCCAACUAAAACACCUUAGAAAUCUAAUAUUGUAUAAGUUCAAUUGGUUGUCACAACAUAUACAAAACGAUGGUUUUAUUAUAACUCACUUUAAUAAGAAAAUCUUACAGUAUGUACAUGAAAUUAGUAGCCUCAGCUACCCAUGUAAAUUACCUAACAGUAAGUUUAAAGCAAGGAUUGAUAACCACCUUUAUUAUGUUUUGAUGAUUAAUAGUAAUGGCAGCACUCUUAUUAGGUGUUUUCACAUUAAAGUGGUUAUAUAUAUAUAUUUGGUAUUCACAUGUACUAUUAUCAUCAGCAUGCAACGGUAAACUGUAUUUAUCUAUCAACACACAAUUAAAUGAAAUUUAUUUAUUUUUCAUGGACGGCAAGCAGUAUUUCCAGUUAUAUAUAUAUAUAUAUAUAUAUAUAUAUAUAUAUAUAUAUAUAUCAUCUUAAUUCUAAACUUCCGGGAGCUUCUAACUACCCAUGAAGAUAUGAUGAUGGGAAGUAAAUGCUCUUUUAAAUCUACGACCAAAACCCUAAUAUUUGAUUUUAUUAGGGUUUGUUCGGUCUAACAAAACCUUGCAUUAGUAGUCUAACAACGAUAAUCCCUUAACCUAAUCCUUGCAUUAGGGUUUUUUAUUUUUUUUUAGGUUAUUAAAUCCUAAUUAAAACCCUUCUUCUUUGUCUCUCUCUAUAAAUAGUAAACAACUUUAAUUAGGGAAAUGCAUUUUAAUUUCCAUCGCCGGUGCUGCAUGCAGCACAUGGUUAUUGUUUUUUGGGUUACGACACAUUUAUUCUUUUGUCUCGGAUGAUGAAUAAUUAAAUCUCAUAUAUAUAUAUAUAUAUAUAUAUGUAUGUAUGUAUAUAUAUGUAUGUAUCUCAAGAUUUGCUGCAGACAUGCAUUUUCUGCAGAGAUGCAUGCAGGAACUUAUGGUCUACCUGUUGCUUUCAAACAAUCAGUAAACAUAGUUAAUAAUUAGUACUCACUAUGAGCUCGCUGUUAUCUGCCUUUUUUUGUUCGAAUAUUUUGAAAUAUCUCACUCGAAGCCAUAAACCCUCCUUCAUUGGUUUGAAUUCUAAAAGUUUAAACAUUGGACUAAACAUGUUCAAACUUUGCCUCCGUUUCAUAGCUUGGUUAACUAUUAAGCAAAGUCCCAAGUUCAUAUUCCUUUUCAUAGUACUGAAAUGUUGCGGCUAAAAUGUUAAUGUUAGAUUGAAUUUUCUUUCAUGUUUUUUGACCUAAUACCAGUGUCUCAUACCCAACAAAGAAAUGACAUUCUUAUUGAUUGGAAUUGCUUGGUAUUUCUUUGGUACAAAUUAAGCUUAGGCAUCUGAGAGUCGACAGGCUUUCUCCUGUGAAUUCAAGUUCGAAUUGCUUGUUUAAAGUAAAAUUUUGCUUGGAUCGAAAAAAUUGAAACUCUAACUGUGAAAUAAGAAAUAUUUUUGUGUGCACGGGAAACAUAACGGUGUUAUAAGUCAUAAAAUUAAUGUCACACUUAUAAGUGUAUUAACAAAAACAAACACACACGAUACAAUGAGAAUAAAAUUAAUAAUAAUACAAAAUGUGAUGUUACUCCAAAUAGGCCAAAAAUUAUUCGUGAUAUAUUAUUAUUAUUAUCAUUCAAAUUAAGAUAAGAUGGAAAAUAAGAAAGAAUUUAAAUCUGUAACACAACAUAAUGAAGAUAAAAGUUAAAUGUACACUUGGGAAAAUUUGACAUUUUUAUUUUUAUUUUUGUUUAAUUGGUAAACAGUAGUAAACAGAGACAUGUAGACAUCAAUCAUCAGUAUAAAAAAGCAUUGGACCACUCCACUACAAAAAGCACAAGAAACAACAAUACGCUCGGGCAUUAUUAUAUAUGAGCACCGAAUGAACCAGUCAGGCGGUGCCCAUUGUCGUGGCCGGAAAGCUUUGACUUACCGGCGCCGGAAUUACGAACCUCCGCAGAGUCCAUUUCUUCACUGGAAGUUUGACAACGAAAAAACAACCGGCGGAGUCGUCCAGGCCUCGGCUCGGAAGCUCGCCGCGGGGCUGUGGCAAUUACGCUUUAGCGAAAUCUCAUGGGGUCGGAAGAUCAAAUUCAAUUCUUGCCCUUCUGAUCCUUCUCCUCCUCAGCCUCAGGUGAUUCUGAUUUAUUUUCAUGUUUUUUUUUUUUUGUCAAAAAAUUAUUUUUUAAGUAUUUGGUAGUGUAGUGACUGUUAUAUGUAUUUUGUAAUGUAGAGUUGUAUAUGAAAUGGUUAUUAAUUGUACAUAGCAUUGUUUUCUGAACUUUGGCUGAUGUUUAGACUAGGUCAAUGAAUUAAAAAUCCCUUAAUGCGAUGAUUAACUAAAAGCUAGUUUUAUUUCUCGCCACUUGUAAGUGAAAAAGUCUGUAUUUUUACUUGUACUAUGAGUUCGAUAACUAAUGUUUAGUGUAUUGUGUGGUUUAACCUAAAUACUCAGUAGAAUAUCUUUUUAUCAAAAUAAAAACCCGUAAGUCCUUACUCAAAGUAUAUAAACAAUGUGGAGCAUUAGUCCUAGCUAGAGAUUGUUUCCGUUUAUAUUUUUAGGUUAGGCAUGACUACGGGACAGAGGUUCAGGGCCGAAGGGGUAGAGAAAGACCUAGGAAAACUUUGGAAGAGACUCUAAGAAAAGACUUAGAGCACUUGGAUCUAACGGAGGACAUGACACAAAAUCGAGCGCAAUGGCGUUCUAAGAUUCAUAUAGCCGACCCCACUUAGUGGGAAAAGGCUUUGUUGUUGUUGUUGUUGCAUGCUUUUGUUUUUAGGUACUUAAGAAAAUGACUACACUUAAAUCCUUUGUUUUUUUUUUAGCUAAGGGUUACACUUUGAAGAAAUUCAAUAAUGUUUUGAAAUUAUAGGUUAAAGAAUUGAUCUUUGAAGUUGGGACUCAUGAGUUCUUGUUACCAUGUCAUGAAAAUACAAAAAAUCACGGUGCCGAAACGAAGCAUGAGCUACAAAGCUCUCAAUUGGGUUCAAAAAACUAAGUUAUGAAUCAAAUGUUAUCUGUCCUUUCUCACUCAAUGGUUUAUGCCUUGAAUUGAUUAUAGUCUUUCGUACUAGACUGAAUUCUCGUAGGGUAGGAUUGAUCUUUUCUCAACUUUACGCUACUCGUCUGAAUUAUGCAAAAGCUAAAUAUUUGAAUAUACCCUUCAAUUUAAGCUAGAACUUACCUAGAUAUAAAAAUUAUUUCAAAAUUCAAUGCCUCAAAUUUAAGCUUCUAACAGUUAUGUAUCAUUUUCUUUUGAUUUUGUAGAUUGAAUCGUCUUUGGCAACUACCAAAUGUGCAUCGGAGAAGGCAACAAAGUGGGAUCGUGGCUGCUCAGGAGAAUCUGAUGACAUCUAUCAGUUUUACAGCCAUAUGAAACUUCUCGAAGAUUGUCAAGUUACUACUAGUUCUAUGGCAUCGGCUUUGAAUGCAGAACUAGCAGAGGCUAGAUUAUGCAUUCGUGAGCUGCAAGCUAAGCGAAAGUCCUUUAAGAUGAAAGUCAAACACUUUUUGAGGAAGCUUGAAGAGGAAAGAAUCUCUUGGCAAACCAGAGCUCACUGGAACAAUCAUGCUAUUAAAGACCUGAAGGAAGAAUUAGGAAGGGAAAGGAAACAUCGUCAGCAGAUGGAAAAUGUUAACACCAAUCUGAUAAAUCAGUUAGCUGGUGUCAAAGUGUCUGUAGAGCAGUUCAUGAAAAAAUAUGAGGAAGAGAAGAAAAACAGAAAAUUCAUGGAAGAAGUUUCUGGUGAACUAGCUGCACAAAUUGGAGAAGACAAGGCCGAAGCCGAGGCAUUGAAGAGAGAAUCAAUUAGAAUUCUUGAAGAAGCGGAGGAAGAGAGGAAAAUGUUUCAUCUAGCAGCAGUUUGGCGUGAAGAGCGGGUCCAGAUGAAGCUGAUCGAUGCAAAACUAGCUCUUGAAGAUAAAUAUUGUCAGCUGAACAAGCUGAUAACAGAUGUCGAAACUUUCUUAAGGUCAAAGUUUGGAACCCUGGAUAUGGCGGAGUUGAGAAAAGCUGAGUUGAUCCUACAGGAAGUUAAGUCAUUGAAUGUUACUGACACUGGGGAAUUUUCUUACCUUCCUCCAAACUCAGAUGAAAUAUACUCUGAUUGCAAAGAUCUCCAACAAUGUGAAGGAAAUGAUAGGGAGAUUGAACCAUACGUUUGUCGCAGUCCAUCUAGCCAUAAUUCCACAGUCCAUCCCAUGAAUCCGGAGGAUAAUGGGUUCAACAAAACUUCUUUUCCAAUGCAGUUGAAUUGCUUUAGUGAUUAUGAUAGUUGUUAUGGAGAUGCGGGUUUGGAUAACAUGAGUCAUGCCGAGGAUCAUCAGGGUUCUUGUGAUUCAUUGGUAGCACGCAAUACCAACGUUAACAAAGUUGGCCAGGCCAAAAAUGUAUCGAGGAGAAGUGAACAUAACACCAAUGUUGGUCAAUAUUCUCCAGAUAGGGAAAUCAGUGAGGUGUGCUCACCAUCGGAGAAGCAAUCAAAGCAAGAGGCAUCUCCUACAUCUAAGAUAUCAUGUCCAAGCAAUGGUGAGUUUCAUAAGAUAGUUUUGGAUGAGGGUGAAAGGAGGCUUUCGAAUGGGAUUACUUCACGUCAGGGAACCAAGGCAUAUCGAGGUUUGUUUCAACAACGAGUUGAACAAUGGAUCCCAACAGACAUAGCGAAUCCACACAUAACUCGAGGAAUGAGAGGAUCCAUUGAAUGGCCGCGAACCAUCCAAACGAAUUGUUCAAAGGCCAAGCUUUUGGAAGCAAAAAUAGAAAGCCAGAAAUCUCAGUUGCGCCAUGUUCUUAAACAGAAGAUUAGGUGAAUUCGGUGUUCGGUGCUCGAAAUUUUGUUCAAGUUCCAUUCGAACUAUGAUGUGGCUGAUGCACUGCAUAUUCCUCCACUUUAAGGUACUGUACAUCAUCUGCCAUGCCAUAUAUCUUUUGAGUAGCAGAGUGAGUGUUGGGGGAAUCUCUAAACUUUAAGCAGCCAACAUACCUGUUUUUGGAACCCAUAGAUCGAAAUACUAAUGAAAGUAUGUAGCUAUAAAAAAGUACACAACUUGUUUUCCUUUCGUCACAAUGAAUGUAUGUUAUUUUUGCCAAAAAUUCAAGAGAAGAAUGCAUUCAAGCUCAUCAAUCAUUUAUAUUGUCUGAAUGGUUCGAAUUUUUUUCUCCGUAGUUUAGAAUCUUUAGUCUCAAGAAUGUAACAACUUUCUUUUUUGCAAACAUACCCACCCACAAACCAACCUUCAAGGCCACUUGAGAUUUGGACCAUUUAUUACACCUUUUUGAAGAUCAAUUGAAAUAAAGCUAGUUUGUUGUCUUUGAAUUAGAAUCUCAACCAAAAACCACAUUGUUGAGUGCCAAUUCCCGUUCGCCCAUCUUUCUUCCCUCUAACGACUCGAAUUGUCACUUGUUCGUGUCACUCACGGAGCGUGUAGCAUCAUGUUGGUUAAGGAACAUUCACCUCUAUAUCUUAGUUUUAAGUCCUUGUAUCAAAAGAAAAGAAAAACAAGUCAAACAGUUACAUUGAAAAUAAAGUGGGUCGAAUUUAUUACAAUGGCAAAGCUCAAUAGAAGUGGGUUGAGCUGUAAUAAGUGCAUCAGCUUAAUGGGUCACCGAUAACUUAAACGCUAUUGUUUAUGAAUAAAGACUUACACUAAGGGGGUCGGGGAAUGACUAUAAUAAUGUGGUUCAAAUUCGUCUUUGAAAAAAACCGAAACUAAGACCUCUUACUUACAUGUGAAGAUAAGCAUCGUAUUUAAACUGCCACUUAGUAUUACGGUCUAGUGGUAUUCCUCUUUACUUGUGAGAGGUUUUAGGUUUGAUUUUCACCAAAGGCAAAUUUGAACCAAAUUAUUGUUAGCCCAUUGUGAAGCUAAGCCUACCGUUUGUUCAAAAAAAAAAGGGAACUUUAACGAAAAGCUCCCGGUACUGUUCACUUUAACGAAAACCACAUUUUUACACUAAAAAGUCAAUCAUGGUACUAUUCACUUUACUCUUUAUUUUGUCCUUAUCAUUAAAACUCAAAGUUUUCAAGCCCUUUUUAUUAGUUUUCCUAAAAAAAAAACAUCGUAUUUAAACUUAGAACCAUAAAGAGCAUGGGUGUAUGCUUAUAUAUUUUGGUCUGUUUUUAAUAUUCGGUGGUUCGGACCAGGAAUAUAAAUACGGAAGAUUGAUUGCAACUUCUUCAGUCACCAGAACCCUAAUUUUCGACUCUUUUGCUCUUUUGCUCUUGUUCUGUGUUUCUUUUUUGCCCUAGAACGACGCUUUUCUUGCCAUAAAUAGUAUAUAUAUACUUAUGUCGCGUUGCUUCAUUGUUUGAAAAUUUGCAGACAUGACAGGAGUAGUCCAUUGGAUGAUUGAGUAUCCUGAUCCUGGUUUGCAGACAUGGUCCAUUGAGGUGUUAGACCCUUGGAAUGAUAGUUCGUACAAGAGGGCGUUGGUAAGAAUUUAGCUGAAUCGUAUACGUUUACAUCCUACACCUGCUGUAUAUACACUCGUUCUAAUUUGAACACCCCUCCCCUCCCCAUGCAUGUUAUUGUGGAGAAGGCCGCGGUUGACGACAAUUCUGAUAGGGGCAAAUUAUUCCGGUAGGAAAAUCCUGAAUCGUACGAUUUGACAAGGUUAGUUUCCAAUUCCCCUCGUGAUUUUAUUAUCUUGGUUUGUAAUGCCUCAGUGGGAUAAAGAUUUUUUUGUUUUGUUUUCAUCUAUGCUUUUGCUAUUUGCUCAGGCAGUUUGUAGAGGAACGCAAACCGUGAACUUUAAAUGCUUGGAAAUUGAGGCAGGCGCAUCCACAUAUUAUUCCAGCUAGAGUUCUCCAGCAUCAAACAUGUUUAUGCCCUCCUAUGUAUUCAGUCCGGUGGAGGUAAUUACCAUAUUCUAAUUUGAGCCUCCAUGCAGGUGAGUGUGGAGACGGAUGCAAGGAGAGACGUUCCUGGCUUUAGAGACAACAAGUUAGUUCCCUUAUUUUCUUGGUUGUGUAUUGCUACAACGGAAUAGGACUUGUCCCCUUCUUGGCAUAGGAUUUAUCCAAGCAUAUUGCGACAAUAGCUACUAAUUUUCACGCUCCAUAUUGUUACAUAAGAUUAGCAUACAGAAAGGAAUACAAACUUGUUACUACAAAGGCGAACUCAUUUGUGUCCAUAGCUUUCUCUCAAGUGAACGGGUUCUCACAUGGUUUUAUCGCCUAUCCUUUGCUUUUGAAUGCAGAUACCAUGUCCACCGUGCUAUUCGUCUUGGAGCUUUUGUCAAGCUUAUUCAGCUUCGUCUCGAGGUUAUAGGAAUCACGGAUCCUGUCUUUGUGUAUUCCAAGAACACCGCUAAACCUCCCAAUGGUGAGCAAAGCUGCAUUUCUUUUUUUCAACAAAUUAAAUAUCUUAUUCCCAAAUUAGUUGUGGUUGUAAUAACUCUAAUUCUUGCAUUGAUACAGAGAUCUUGAUGUCUGCAAUUGACAAGGAUGAGGAAAAUAAGGAUGAAGAUGGAUUUCUUCACUUGAUAUACACUAAUGAAGAGGAAGGAGUACCAAUUCCAGCGAAGAAAGCUGCCACAAGGCACAAAAGUCCUUGCAGAUUCAAGAGGAGGAAGUUAGUUGUCAAUUACCUUGAUUUAGUUAUCUUAAUUUGUUUGCUGCAAUGGGAAAAAUAAAAAAAUCGUCCCCUCCAUUUGUGCUUGUAGGAAAAUCGGAAUGAUCCAGUUUUCAACUCCCAUUGGUCUGUUAGACUCCUGGAACCUGAUCAAUACAGGCAUAGCUGUUUUUUCAUCUAUGCGUUUGAUUUAUGCUCAGUGGUUGUUUGGAGGCGGACAAACCACCUAGACGUAGUUUAGAUGCUUGGAAAUUGAGGGAGAAGCAACCUGACCAUAUACCAGUAAGUGUUUCACUGCAUUAAAUUUGCGUAUUUCCUCCUAUAUUUGGUGGACGCAAUACCGUGCUCUAUUUUGAGCCUCCGUGCAGGUAAGCGUGGAGAAGGACGCAGGUAGUGACAUUCCUGACAUUGACAUGAAGAAGUUAGUUUCCAAUUCGAUUACGCUUGGGUAUCUUGAUUUGUAUUGCAAGAAUGGAAUAGGAUUUGACCCCCUUAUUUAGGUAUGCUUUUUUAUAUCAUGUAGCUUAUCUAGGAUGAAGGUGGUCUCACAUGGUUUUGUCGCCUGGCCUUCGUUUUUUACUGCAGAUACAAUGUCCAUCGUGAUAUGCCGCUGAGAGAAUUUGUUGACUUUAGAAUAUCGGUUAAGGAUUGGGUAUGAAUCUCCAUGGAAAAAGCCUAUGUUCGUCUACUUCAAGAACACCGAGCCUCCCAUUGGUGAGCAUAGCUGCAACACAUUUUUGUUUUAGUCCGGCAGUAAUAACAUCCUUCUUUUUCCCAAGUUAGGUGCGGAUGUAAUUAACUCUAACAGUUGAAUGUUGUUACACAGAUACUACCUUGAUGCCUGCAGUUGAUGAGAAAAACAGGGACGAAGACGGUUUUGUUCACAUCACCUACAGUGGAAAAGAGAAAGGAGGCUGGACCCACUGAAGAGCUCUGGGUCAGUGAUCUGAUCUGAGCUACUUUGAUAUUUUUAAGCCUUAAAACUGGUCUUUGAGAUCAAUGGCACUGCAUUGGACUUUAAUGUUUGGAGUUGGAAAUGUUUGAUUAAUUGUUUUUGGCAGUUGGUUUAUGUCUAAUUCUGGAUUAGUUUUCUUUCAAUUUUGCUUUCCAAACCGUUCUUCCCGACGCUGGCGGGAUGUAAUUUCAUAUAAAAACCUCAUUUUCUCUCACUCAGUCCGUCAUCUUGUUGCAAUAGCCGUUGCAGAUGCUUGUUGAAUGAUCAUUUAAACAUGUCCAACUAAAGACGAAGCACUUUUUUAGAGGUUGCCCAGAUGCUAUCUUCUAUAUCUAUCGGGGAGGACUGCAUUCCGGCUGGCCUUGUCCCAAAAUCAAUCUGUUUACGCAUCAAUUCUUCGAGCUGGGAUCGCAGCUUGUCGUCCCUCAGUUGUUUUUCUUGUCUCGAGAAUUUUUUUUCAGACUGUUCCCUUAAUUUGGUUUUACGUAGCUUUAUGCUUCUAGACUAAAAAUAUGUUAGUUGGUUAUAAAUCGAUUUCAAAUGUUGAAACAGUAGGGUUUAUAUUGAAGAUGGUGAGUAAUUACAUAAAGAUGAAAUACACUUUCUACUUUUUCUUUACUUAUAAGAUUCUACAAUGUAGUUGAUGACUAAAUUUCAAGGUUUUGGCUCUUUCUAAAUACCUAAGGUGUAUUAGAGAGUGUAACACCAAUAGCCAAACCUUGUGAGUUGUUUCGACUCGCCUAAUCCUUCAACUUCCUCUCUUAUGUUUAUCAUUUUGUUGCUCAUCUCAUGUAUUGCUUUAGUUGCUCUAAUAAUAUUAUAUUAUAUCAAUUCUCUUUCAAAGAUAUUAUCCAAUAUUACUUGAGGAUUAGAACCGUUAUUUUGUAAACCACUUUCUAAAGAGGAAAAUGUUACUAAAUUAAGAGAAUAAGCCCUGACAAAUAUAAUCAGCCCUGACAAAUGUAAUCAGCCUGCUAAUAUAAAAUUAAGGUCAAACAACUUGCUAAAAACACAUUAAGAAUUAAAGAUGAUGAUCAUAAACAACAUGAGCAAGGCAGGUUUGGUUCAUCCUCUGAUGUUUGACAUUGCUGGAUCGAAAGAAGACUAUGAUCGAUGCCCGCGAACGUUCGAUCAAUCAUUCGUUUUGGACGAACAAGACCUGUGGUCCUGCAGUUCAUAAUUGUACAAACAAUUCCCACCAGUUGAUGAUGAUCAAGAAAUUGACUGGCCAGCAUUGUCACAACCACAAGUCUUUGGCAUCGAUCGUGUCAUGCAAGUGGGACGAUCGAUCUACCAUGUUCACCACUAAUAACUUCAUCAAAGUGUAGGUAUACUUUCUUUCAACUGUCGUUACAAAACUGGCAAACUGCAUACCCCAAAUAUGCAAAAGUAUUCACUUUGAAAUCAUCGAUAUUGAUAGCGUGGAAAAACUAAAAGGAAAAUGAUUUUUCGCAAACCAUUUAUUCUACGUGCACAUUUAUUUAUUUUUGGUCUUUGAUCAAAUAAAUUAAAAGAAAAUCGACCAGCAUAAAUAAUUAUAUAGAACUCGGUGUGCAAAACAAAAAAAUGGUGUACGGGAUUUAUUUCUCAAAUCAAAUCUACUCACAUGGCUGACCCCAACAUCAACACGCAUGAUUGUAACAACUCAAACAACAGGAAACGAUGGGUCCUCUCUUAUCGUUUGAUGCAUAUGAAGGAUAAAAACAGCCUACCACCGAGCUUGCUGCCAAUCAACAAUAAUAGUGUUCACAAUAAAAUUUUAUCAGCAUUGAAUUUUUGUGGUAAGCUUCCUCUUGAAAAAUAGUUGAGUGUGACCUAUAUUUCCUUCCAUCUCUGCAGGUUGAAAAAGUUGACAGAGAUAGAAGAUUGAGGAACAAGAAGAGAUCCAUUAAGAGAAAGAUUUAUCCAAGAAAAAAUUCGAUGGAUUAUCUUCCAAACUUUGCCUCAAUAAUUGUCUUUGCAAUAAUCUUCCUACUACUUCGAUUCGCUCACUUUCCCUGGUUUUUUGGGUUACAUGCAAGACAUGAAUCGAACUCAUACCUAAUACCUAUAUUAAUCUCAACCGCACUCACCUUCAUGUGUUUUCAUUUGCUAAUAAUUAAGUCGCGAUUUUGUUACUAAACUAACUACAAAACCUUGAUUAAAAAAUCUUACAACCCAGUUGAAAAUCUCAGUGGAUACAGUAAUUUUGCUCCAAUGAUUGGAGAUUUCUAUAAGACAAAAUGGUUAGGUAAAUAGAGUCUAAGGGAUAUAUAUAAAGUAUCUGGUAUUUCAUGCAACUUGUGUUUCAAAUUGGAGCACCAAGUUGGCCAAACGUCACAACGAUGAAGGGAUGGUUUAGCAUGUGUUAGUUCAACUUGAAAACGAAAAAGGUAUUUUACAGGCUAAAAGCCAACAAAACAAACCAAACAUCUUGUAAAAAGGGAACAUAGAUUACGCUCUUCUUCUUAGCUUUACAGCUUUCAUGUGUACGAGAUGAUACAAUUUUGUUCCUGCAAGUAAACAAAAGGGACGAUCAAAUAUGUUCUCUUUUGAACUUUCGUAAACAUAAAAAUAUCACUAUUACGUUAGAAAGUUAAAACACAUAACAGUAGAAGUAUUUCAUCAAACAACCUCAAGUAAAGAGAAAGGGUAACUUUGAUAAUUUCAACUUGAGCAACAAAAGUUUGCUGGCUCUGCAAGUAUCUCUCAUGCACGAAUAGCAUGUUCUUGGCCGACCUGACAACCCAAAGCCUCCUCUACUAACCGACAAAACCUCCAACAGAAGCCCUUUGAUUCUUGUCCUUAUAUAAUUCUGUGUUAGUACAAGAAUCCCAUGUUAUAUUAAUCCUAAGGCCUGACUUUUUCUUGCCUUACAAUAAAAUAAUAUCCCAUGAUUCAUAUCCCUACUCCCCUAGUACAAUCAUUCCUCAACCAUUUGAUCCUCUGGAUCUAAUUUAAAAUAUGAAAUACAUAUCAUAGUAAUUUGAAUUCCGAUUAAGAAAAUUUUUAAGUGUAAUCGUUUCACUCUUUUAUCAUGUAAGAUGGAGAUAGUGAAACAGAUAUAUACAUGGCAGAUUGGUAUAAUAUCUUGGCAAAUUGAAUUUAAACAAACUAGCUUGACGAGAAAAAUUGUUGUGGUACAAGAUAUUAUGUUAUAACUUUGUGCUUAAAGCACUCAUUAUGUGACCAUGUUACAUGAUAAACUUCUUCAAGUCAUAUGACGAGCAUUGUACUGUAUAAAUACAUCGAGAUGUAUCCCUAGCAAUAUUAGGCUUCACAAAUGGAUCAUUUUUGUCGUAUUCGUCUCAUUUUCAUGUUAUACUCGUAAUCUUAACGAGUCAUGUCGUACAAAAUCCGUUACCUUAAUGGCUUAUUAAAAUGUGACCGAUAACAACCAGAUUCAUUAACGUUCCGUGUUGUAUCAUGUCAGAUUAACAAGUUAUACAAGAAAUUGUUGUACAUAAUGUCUAAAUCUGGCCUACCUAGCAAUUGGUAAGAUUCUUUCCAUCUCGACACCAUGAAAUCAAUCAUAUGCUAAGCACUCAUUAGGGUUUUUAUUAAUUUGUUUUAUUUAAUUAACCUUGUUUAUGAAAGGGGCGGUGGUGGCUGAUUAAUUAGUGGGUGGGAUUCGGAUUCUUAUUUUCUUACAGAAUUGACACACUCACACACACACACCAAAACAAAUGUCGUUUGUUUUUAGCAAUCGAAGAAAGGUUGCAAUGCAUGACGUGAUAUGGAGGGUUGUGAUGUGAUGAUAAUGGUUGAUAUAAUUCUGGGUUGUCAAUUGUCAUGCUUGAUAUAAAAAGAAAAACAGUGGCGGGGGCCAUAGGAGUUUUAGGGUUUUUUUGUACUUGUCAAAUAUUCCAAUUUUCUUAACGUCAUUGAUUUUACAGAAACGACAGGUUCCCUAUCAUAUUUGAUGGCUUAUACACUACAUCGAACCUGAGAAUGUUAGAGUCAGUCGUGAACGAGCGUUUCUUGCCCGUGAGUGCAGACAAGUCUUGUAGUGUAGUUUGCAUGUAUCAACCUUCAGAAAACUAUGCAAUCGUCCACUCACGAUUAGUCAUGGUAAAAUCUUAAUUGGAGUUUGUUCAAAACUAUUUAGUUUUCAUCCACUCUCUUCGUUUUCUUAUUUCUUUCACAUAUUUUUUUCCUCUAUUUAUAACAAAAAAUAUAAAAACUAAUAACUAAAACAAAAUGUUUAAUUAUCACCAUUAGCCAUACAGUCGAGUCCAAUAGGAGGUCUCAUAUGCGACUCCUAUAACUUGCGAGUUCAGUGCCUAAUUUACGUGGUUUAGCCCAAAUUCCCACUCUAAUAUCAUUUCAUAUGAAAAACAAAAUGAUUAUUUCAAAUUCCAAAAUUAGUGAUUAAUUAUUAACCGUUAUAUUAAUUUCAAAUUUCUACCAAUUAGUACUACAGUCUAGUGAUAUUCUUUUUCACUUGUAAGUAAGAGGUCUUAGGUUCGAUUCUUGCUACAGACAAAUUUGAAUCACGUUAUUUGCUAGCCCAUUGUGAGGUUAAGCAUACCAUCUUCCUUUAAUGUAGAUAAUAUCGUAUGUUCAACAAAAAAAAAAUUCCUAAUGAGGCUAAGCUGCAUAGGAUACUUGAUUGCAACGAAUGGUCUAUCACAAGGCAGAGUUAGGUACUUGGGGUCCGGGUGCACCAGUAGUGAACCCAUCUCCACGGGCCAUGGCUAGCGGGUCCCAGACAAGGUCGGGUCAUUGAAAGCCCAGGGCCCUCGCCCCCACAAAAUCCCACAUAAGGGAGAGAGAUCCACAAUAGUGUCACACAAAAGGGGAGGAAUCCAGAUCCUCUUUGUGAUAAUUUUUGAAAUUCGUGAAUCGCGUUCGUUCAUUGUACAUCAUGUGAUCAAAAAUUAUUUUAAUAUUUUUAUCUAAAAUUAAACACAAAUAGUACCUAGAAAAAAUUUAUUGCACAAUGUAUAAUAAACGGACACGAUUCACGAAUUUCCAAAAUCGUCACAAAAAGAAUCCUGAGAUGAUCCUAUUGGAAGGGGGAGAGACACACAAUAGUACCUCAUAAAAGGGGAGGGGGUCCUCCAUUGAUAAAUAUGAAACAUCAUCAACCCCUAUCCUUGCAUAGUCCAAGUGGAUAACAAAUGCAAAUUUUAUUGUUAUGAAAAAAUUUAAUGACGUGAUUUAUCAAAUCCCAUAAAUGGCAACUUCUGUGUUAAUUUGUCAAAACAUGGUUGACAAGCGAUACCACAUCACUUGUUAAGUGAGAUAUCAACCGCUAAAAGCAAUACAAACAAAAUCUAAACUAAUCAAAUAAUGAAAUCCACCCAUCAACUCAUCUCCAUUGGCGACUUUACAGCUUCUGUGAGAUCUAUCACUAUUGCAAGGCGAAGCCGCCACGAUUCGUCAAGAGAAAAUGGAAAGAAAAAAAAAGGUAGGUCGUCAGAAGAGUGAUCAAGGAGAAGGGGAUGACGAGAAGAGGCAGGAGUGUGGGUAGACCUGGCAUUUUGGACUCGACCUAACCCAACCCGUUAAUAUUAGCAUUUUGGGUGGAUGCUUAACGGGUCGGGUUGUUAAUGGGUGAACUCGUUAACAACCCGUUAAAUAACGGGUCAUUUUGAGUCAAUCCGUUAGACCUGUUAGCACCCGUUAGUUGAGGAUAUUUUAGUAAUUUCAGUAAAGUCUUAACAACAAAAAAUAAACUCUAUGAAAAAAAAAAUAAUUAUAAUAAUUGUUAACGGGUCGGGUUUGAAUGACCCGUUAACUUAACAGGUCGGAUUCGGGUGACCCGUUUACAGGUCGUGUAGGGACGAGGAGGUGCAGAGGGGGUUUAGGAAGAGAGUGUCAGAAUACAAAGGAGUUAUUGUUCAUCAUAUGUGUUCUUGAGAGAGAAAGAGAGAUUCGAGAGAAUAGCAAUCUUAGAGAGAGAAAUGAAUUGUAUCUUGUAUGUAUUGAAAUGAAUAAUAUGUGUUACAAUAGCUACACAUAUAUAUAAACAAGGCUAUCUUAGUCACUAAGUAAGUUAACUACGGAUAACAAACUUAACUACCUAGCAAUUUAAUCUAUGUACACUUAUCAAUAUCCGAAGCAUCUAAUACAUCUUUACAUAGAGGAGAGGCUAGGAGGACAGGGGGAGAGGCUAUCACCGGCCCCUAGCCUUGUUGCAGAACUAGGGUUUGCUUUUGGAGAGAGAAAAGAAGGCCUGGGGGAGUAGAAAAAGUACUACUGAAAAAUUAUUUUCACCUUUUAAUAUAAAUAUAUUGUUGUACAAAAAAUAAUAAUUGAUGUGACCGUGAAAAUGAGAGCAUGUGGAAAAUUAGGAUAAGGAUUGUCUGCCCUCCUAGUUGUGGUCAAGGAAGAAAAUAUCGGUAAUAUCGGAAAUAUCGGUAGUCCGAAAACACGGAAAUAUCGAUGGAAAUAUCGGGAUAAUAUCGAUAUCGAUAAAAUUACAUGGAAACCACGGAAAUUGUAAAGAAAAACUUGGAAAUUUUUAAUGAAAACUUUGUAGGAUGUUUAUUUAGUCAAUUAUUAUCUAUUAGUUUAUCACAAAAAUUGGAAGGAAAUGCAUUGCAUGAUGGAUUUUAACUGAUUUUAAGUUGAUUAUAUAGCGAGCUGGCAAAACAUUGUGAGUGUAGAAAUAUGUAGUAAUUAAUGAAAGAAGUUUAAACACACCAUAAUCAUUUAUAUAUAAUUAAUUAGUACAAUAUUUGGAGGUUUUUAUUUAGGAUAUUAAAAAAAAAAAAAGGGAAGUGAAUAAAAUGAUGAAGAAUAAUGUGCCGAAUUUGACAAUUUAAAUUUCUUACACAUAAAGCAUGCGUCUAGGCGUUGAAGUUCCAAAUUAUAGUAUAUCAAUUAACGAUUGAAAAUCAAUACAUUGAAUAAGAUUAAACUUUAAUUUGGAUGCCGAUUAUGUUUUUUCAAACUUGAUAUAAAGUAAAAGUAUUUGAAUUUUGGAAGCUAGGAGUGUGUCAAUUGAAUUUUGGCUGACGUGCAAGGUAUAAUCUCUCUUCGUCUCUUCGAGGGCUACAACUUCCUUUUGUUUCACUCAUUUCGUUGCGUAUUGAAAAAGUUAUACUCAUUUGAAUCUUACCCAGUUUCCGGCGACCUCAGUAGAUUUCGAGGCAAUUUCUGGCCAAACCACAACGAGUCAGACGUCGUGUGAGGUACCAUUCUCUUCGUCUCUUCGAGGGCUACAAACUUUCCUUUUUGUUUCACUCAAUUUCGUUGCGUAUUGAAAAAGUUAUAUACUCAUUUUGAAUCUUACCCAGUUUCCGACGACCUCAGCGACCUCAGUGACUUUCGAGGAAUUUUCCGGCCAAACCACUACGAUUCAGACAUCGUGUGAGGUACCAUUCUCUUCGUCUCUUCGAGGGCUACAACUUUUCUUUUUGUUUCACUCAAUUUCGUUGCGUAUUGAAAAAGUUAUACUCAUUUGAAUCUUACCCAGUUUCCGACGACCUCAGCGACCUCAGUGACUUUCGAGGCAUUUUUCGGCCAAACCACUAUGAUUCAGACAUCGUGUGAGGUACCAUUCUCUUCGUCUCUUCGAGGGCUACAACUUUCGUUUUUGUCUUGCUUGAUUUCGUUGAGUUUUGACAAAGUUAUGGCCGUUUAAAGUGGGUGUAAAAUUUCGGCCGAAAUUUUGAUUUUUUUCCCCCAUUGGGCGAGUCCCACAUCGCUCAUGCAAGGAAGUGAGCAAUGAAUUUUUCCUAUAAAACUCACACUCCCCUGGCGAGAUAACCAAAACUUGUUUGGCCUUUGGGCCAUGAUCAAGUUAACUAUGUGUUGAGUUUUCUCAACAUAUUUAAGUUUUUUUUUAAUAAAAUAUCGCGAUAUUGUCUAUAAUUUCGAAAAUAUCGCGAUAUUAUCGAUAAUAUCGUGAUAUUUUGACGAAAAUAGGUUGGAUAGUUAAAAAAAUUUCGGAACUUCAAAAAAACGACAAUAUCGGCGAUAUUUUGCCGAUAUUAUCGAUUUUUUCCUCCUUGGUUGUAGUGCCCUUCCAUGCCCUCCUAUUUUGUGUGGUCACGGUUAAGUCACGUUAAUAUUUUAUAUUAAUUUUUUAAUGAGAUAAUAAGAAAAAAAAUAAUAAAAAUAUAAAAUAUUAACGUGGCUUAACCGUGACCGCACAAAAUAGAAGAACAUGGAAGGGCACCACAACAAGGACGGCAGACAAUCCAAGUCCGGAAAAUUAACAUAACCCUAGUACUUUACCAAGAGAGUUGAAUGAUGCGUACUCAUUGCGCAACUUCCAUCAAUUCUCAUUUGUUAAUCGUUUGAGAUAAAAUAAUUUACAGUAUCAUCUAACUCAUGUAAAUACGACAUUUAACUCACGAGGCAUGUGUAAAAGUGAUAUAAUCAGAUACAUUAUUACUGUGCUCUACCGAAAAUUUUCUCAUCGGCUUUCAAGAUUUGUCCGAUAACUUUGCUGGAAUUGCUGGAUAUGUACUGAAAAUAUGCACAAUACAAAGUCACGAUGAUAUUCUGGACAUUUUUGAUAGCGAUGUGCACCAUACACGCAAGUUAUGAUGAGUUUUAAGAAUAUAUAUGGUCAGCUGGUUCUAGAAUCCUAUUAUUUUAAUAUCAAGCAUAUGUACACUUUCUUUCACUCAAAUUGCAUCACAUUAGUGAUUCCACCGUAAAUUUAAAUUGACUUUGUUUUCUUCCGAAUUGAGUCUCGACAGUCUUAGUUCAGUUGUGCUGUUUUUUAAGGUUAAUAACCAUUUAUAAAAUACUUAAUUAAUUUUGUCUCUCGACAACAGAUAAUGCUAGUACAAUUCCACUUGGACACAUUUUUUUUCUUUCAAACGGGACUUUAAGUGUAAUUUUAGUGUAAAUCGAAAUUUUAAAAGACACAUUUUUAAAAUGAAAAAGGAAAGAGGAAUUUUAACGAAAAGAUUACAGUACUAUUUAUUUUAACGAAAAACCACAUUUUUACACUAAAAAGUCAAUCAUGGUACUAUUCACUUUACCAUUUACUCUUUACUUUGUUAUUAUUGUUAAAACUCAAAAUUUUCAAACAUUUUUCAUUAGUUUUUCCAAAAAAAAAAACCCCUAUAUAAUUGGAUGUAAUUUGUGAAGCUCCAUCAAAUUUGGGCCUUUUGAUUGUGAAAUCUUUGGACAAUGAAUGGUGAUAAAGCUUCACAUGUUUACUUCAAAAACGACAAGUCGUUGUUGGACCCCACUAUUGUAUUCUGGACCGUCUAAUGUGGACUUCACAAAGACUUUGCUUUUUCAAUCCCCAAGUGGAGAUUUAAUUAAUCUAAACCACAAAAAUAAACUUGAUUAAAACCCCUAAACCAUCAAUUAUGCUGACGCUAAUUUUCUGGUCAUCAUCAUUAGUCUUUUCAUUAGUGAAAGGAAAAUGGUGACAAAAAAAAGAAACUGAAAUACCACUGUAAAUCUUUUCAAUUUUGUCCAAAAUAACUUCGUCACAGAGACCACAAGCUAAUUUCCUCCAAAAAAUAAGAGGUGUGAUAUCCACACACCAUUUUUUACUUCUCUCACAUAUUUUUAGUUUUCAGCCGUCGGAUCGAAUGAAUUGAAGAAGAUCAACGGACAUAAAUUAAUAAGAUAUAUAAAAAGUAAAAAAGGGUGUGUGGAUACCACACCCAAAAAAUAAUCAUUAGCCUUCCCACACCACAUACUAAACCUUUUAUUUACUUUAUUUUUAACUGGUGAAAUUAUUUGGCUGGAAACUGUUCGUCCACGUGGCAUGGAUGGAGACCCCGAAGGCGGGACCCGUAGGUGUAGAAGCUCCCACGUGGUGGGCUUUUAGAGGAGGACGUGUCCACGUGGACUGUGAGCAGUUUGUGUUAUAUGCAUUUGUCAUUUGACGUAGUCAAACAAGACGGGCAUAGCGGUGGGGGCCCGCCGCUUAGUGUAGAAGGAAUUACGACGUGGGUGGUUUGUAGUUUCGCAUAAGAAAGCGCGUUCCUUUUUAAUUUAUUCUUAUUAGAGGAGGGCUCGAAACAAUUAGAAGAAUUUAGGGAAGAUAGAGGGGGAGAGUUGGAAAUUAUUGCAGGAAUAUUGUGAAAUAGGAGUUUCGAACCCAUAAAGUAUAGAUAAAAACCUAAUACUCUAUUCAUUAUAAUAUUUGACCACAAUUUGCAACACAUGAUUUGGAUUACAUAGGAACCAAAUAUAACUACCUAAUCUUGAUUUCAUGUUACAAAAAAAAAAAAAAACAUGUUGGGUUCGAUUCUUAAAUCAUUUAUGUUUUUCAUAUUCAUCUUCACUUGUAAGUGAGAGAUCUUAAAUUCGAUUCUUACCAAAAGAGAAUUUGAAUCAUAUUAUUGCUAGCCUAUUGUGAGGCUAAGCCCACCCCCUCCCCUUAGUGUAAAUAAUAUCGUUUGUUAAAAAAGAUAUAACACGUUUUCGUUCGACUCUUAGCACUGGUGAAACACAUAAUCUUAACCUGAACGGGGCUAAAAUGCAUUCAUGACCCUUUCUGGCGUAAAAGAAAAUUGAACUGCUUUUGUAAAGCCACCAACUUAACUCCAAAAAGUAAGGAACAAAACCUCCACACGUGUUGGCGGGAGCGCGUAUAAUGGAAGAAUGAUCCCAUUGAAAUCUCCCUGUUUUUUACAGUUUCGUGAACUUGUUACUCACCACCAUGCAAAUGAAAUGCAAACAAAAUGACGCCCAAAUUCAAAUUCAAAUGAAAUGAAUUAUUAUUGUUAUUAUUUUUUGGAAUGCUAUACAUCUUAUACAUAUAUAUAUAUAUAUACAUGUCCACCCCUCCGAUGCCCAGCUUAUGCGUAAGCCUAUAAUAAAUUGAUCGAUGGAAUUGUGAAUUGGAUUUCGUGGGUUCUCACCUUUCCUCAAUUGGGUCGCCGGGAAUUCUCGAUUCCGUGGCCGGAAUCCGAUUGAUUAUGACAUAUGGCGAAGGGACGGAAACUGACGCAGAGCCGCAGCGAACGCUUGCUCGGGACCUACGGCAGCUACAGCCACGCACAUGACUCGCCGGAGCUCGGCGAGGACGAUGUCUGGUCGAUGGUCAACAGCGUCGACGAGAGGGAGGACCACGAAACCGAGAAUUCGCAGGGAGAGUGGAGCCCACGCGCCGUCCCCGAGAGCAACGGGGGUGUUCAGGUGCGGAGAGGCCACCGAAUUCCCAGGGAAGAUGACAGCGUGGGCGGGCUGUCAUUGGCGUUUGACGAUUCCGGUAAAACUGUGUCGUCGCCUCGGAUCGUGCACCAGUUCCGCGGGCACGACAGCAUGGCUUCCCCAGGUGGGCACCACAUUGCCACGUCAGCUCCCAUGAACGUGCCCGACUGGAGCAAGAUUCUCCGGGUCGACUCCGUGGACUCGCUGUACGACAUGGACGACGGCUUGGAUGGCAAUAACUCGGAGAUUAUUCCCCCACACGAAUACCUGGCGCGUGAGUACACGCGAGGCGCGACGUCGGUUUUCGAAGGCGUUGGGCGGACCCUGAAGGGCCGAGACAUGAGUCGGGUCAGGGAUGCGGUGUGGAGCCGGACCGGGUUUGAUGGAUAAUUUGUGAUUUGUGAUUAGUGAUUAGCAUUAGGAAAUUAAGGAGGUUUAAUUAUUGUUAAAAAUGAUUGAUUUGGGACGUCAAGAUGUUUAAUUAUUGUUGUGAAUUGGUAAAUUUUCGUUGGGCAAUGAUUCAGCCAAGACAGAUGAACUCGGACUCGGCUGGGAGUGAGCUCAAUUUGCCCAAGAUAUUGAAUUCUAAACGUAGGAUUUAGGCCCUUCUUGGUCUUUUUAUUGUAAUGAGUUGAAUUUUCGAAAUCGGUUUGUGUUAGUGAAGCAUGAUAGGUAAUUUCAUGGUGCACUUUGAAGAGUUUUGUUUUCAAUACCGCUAUUUGAAAACUUAAAAUUAACGAACUUACUAAUGCACACUGUCUAAUGGAAGUGAAUUUAACAGUUGCCGUAUGUAGAAUUCACAUGUAUUAAAAAAAAUGUGAAUAAUCUAUUAAUUUUGUGCAGCUAAAUAACAUUAUUUUUGUUUUAUGAACCUCAAUUCACAUAAAUAGGGUAAUUAAAAAAAAAGGUCUUGAUUAUUUUUGUAAUUUCAUAAUUUCUUUUUCUAUCAAAACAUGUUUUCAUGAGAAGAUUCUUACCUAAACAUGUUUUAUUUUUUUCUUCGAAUUUUUUUAUAUUAAAUUUGAUUCUUUGAGUCAACAAAAAUUAUGAUUUGCGAGUAUUUAAUAAGACACUAAGAUUUGUACAUAGAUAAUCAAAAUUCACACCAUCUUCACUUGCUAACAAACACCUCUCAAAACCUAAAUUUAAAACUCUUAACAAAAACCUAAUCUUAAACUAAACUUAUAACUUAACAUCUUAAUUAUUCUUUAGAUAAAAUUAACUAGAAUUAGGUAUUACUAGCAACAUGAUUAAUUCACUUUAGACGAAUGAUAUAUGAUGGUUUCAUUUUAUCUAUAUAUAUAUAUAUGAGAUGAGAUAUUGUCAAAGUCGUGUCAAUGGCAUGAAAAAAUAAAUGGAAACUCAAAAACUAUGAUUUUGAUGACGAUGAGGAUGACGAUGAUGAGCAUAAAGGGUAGGCCCCGCUGAUAUGGAAAACUUGAUGUCGAAUCCAAAUUCCGAAGUCGAGUCACUCAUUAGCUAGUGUGAUUUUAAUGGCGCCAUUACAAAGGUAAAACCAAUGGCUCUCAUUUCUUGCGAGCUGUGAGUUCAUUGUUGCGUCCCUUUUUUGAAAAAGUUGAUGGCCCAUAUGGCUUACUCAUUAUUUUAAGGUAUUAUCACAAAUAAUCUUGAAAUUAAAAAUCAAUCAACAUAAUUUUUGUAAAAUAAGUGCGCAAAUUAAUGUGGUCCUUGUGUCAUAAUUUUAAAAAAAAUUUGUGACGGAAUGACCAAAUUGAUUUGUGACACUUAAUCUUAAGAACUAUACUGAUCGAUUUUCAAUUUCAACGAUCUUCUUAAAGGUAUGGAUCAAUUUUAAGAACUAAUGCUCAGUGGUCUUACUAAUUGGAGCCCAAAUCCUAUUGGGUUAUCUUGUAGGGCCUAUAGUGAGAGCAAAACGAAACUACAUAACAUAACAGUGGUCAUAGGCUGCUCCAAGUUAUGCGAAAAGCCCAAAUCUGUCAUUCAGUCCGUUGCCAUGUUUACUUUCCUAAAUAUACCGUCUCCAUUUUUCUCUAGUAGACUCCUUUGCAUAAUAAUAAGAUACUCUAAACUACCGGUUACCGCGGUCUAAAAAAAGAGAGAUUAAACUUGGUGUAGCGGAUGGGAUGAACUUAGUAUCUUAAUCAACUGAUCUAUUUCAUAUAUGAUCGUCUAGCAGACUUUUACAAGUAGGAAAAAUAUUUGCGAAAUCAUUGAUUUGGUUGUUCAGGGGAGUUACCUAGAAUUCCACAAUAACCUUGCUAUAGGCAACAUCUGGGGAAAAUUUUCAGGACAAGAUCCUUUUUCUAGCCCUAACGUCUCUCACAGACAUGCUCCAAAUACAUUUUGGUUAAUUGAACUUUAAAUGUGGCAAACUUUUUAUUAGAUGACCUUACGAGUGUGAUUACGCAAUCUAAAACCCAAAUUUCUAGAAUGUAAGAAGACGUCAAAAACUUUUUAUUAGAUGACCCUACGAGUGUGAUUACCAAUAAGUAGUUCAUCCAUUACCCUACAUUUUUUUUUUAUGUUGGGUAGUGCUAUUUACAUGCACAUUUUUACUUCUCAAGCAUUUUUCUUAAUAUCUGACCAUCAAAUCGAAUGAAUUGAAGAAAAUUAAUAUAAAUAAAUUAAUAAAAGUUUGUACAAAGUAAAAAUAAAUGUGAAACACUAUCUUUAUGUUUCCCACGAAUUUAGUUUCGAAAUUAUUUUAUCCCGCACACAUAUUUGUCUUCUAGGUCAUCUAUUAUCCAGCACAUAAUACACCACCUGGAAUCCACACACCUGUAUGGUUCGAUCAAGUAAGUCCACAUCAUUCCAUUCAUUUUCACGUGAUUAUUGAAACAAAUUUUGUAAAAUAGAAGUUAUAGGAAGUUAUAGAAAAAAAUAAGAAAAAAAAAAGGUUUACAACGGCUAGUGGCGCUAGCCAUUGGAAGUUUAAAUUCAAAUUGUUAUUUCUGUCGGUUAUAACCGACAGAAAUGAGAAAAAAAUGUCGUACCCAGUGCACAAGACUCCCGCUUUACGCAGGGUCUGGGAGAGGUGAAUGUCGGCUAGCCUUACCCCCAUUUUAUGGAGAGGUUGCUCCCAAGUCUCGAACCCGAGAAACAUUAAAAAAAAAAAUAGCCAGCCCUCCAGCCCUCUCCGAUCCCGUGGGGCCCUCCCAGAUUCCCGAGCCUCUGGCCUAGCCCUCGGUUGGAGACGGUUUUAGGACUAUUUUCGGCCCUCUAGCCCUCUGGACCCUUCGGUUGGAGAUGGCCUAAGUCCACAUCAUUCCAUUCAUUUUCACGUGAUUUUUGACAUUGGCUUUUGUUGUGGAAUCAUGUAUAUAUAUAAUGAGUAACGAAAGAUUUUAGAUUUGAAUUUUGUGGAUGGUGAGUUUGAUAUUAAUUUAUUAUUUUUGUUUUUUGCUGUAUUAUCCGUAAAUGAGUGGGCACACGAAAAAUGAUAGUAUUAGGAAUGAGGAUAUUCGAGGUAAAGUAGGAGUAGCCGAGAUUGAAGUAAAGAUGAGAGAAAAUCGGUCAAGGUGAUUUGGACAUAUGACCGAAGGACUUCAGACGCUCAAAUUAGAAGAUGUGAUUACCAGACAAAAGUUCAGUGACGAAGGAGUAGAAGAAGACCUAGGAAGAUUUAGAAAGAGACUCUAAGAAAAGACUUGGAGUACUUAGAUCUAACGAAAAACGUGACACAUAAUCGAAUGGAAUGACGUUCUAGGAUUUAUACAGUCGACGCUACUUAGUAGAAUAAAGCUUUGUUGUUGUUAUUUGUCUCGUGCAUUAUUAUAUUGUUAUAUUAAAUAAAUAAACAAGUGAAUGGAAGAAAAGGAACGUAGUUUGCUUUAGUUUUUGCCCCUUCUAACCAUCGCUUUUGCUGUAAUAUUCUUAUAACACGUCUUUGACAUAAUGUCAAAAAUCCCGACAAAUCCGUACCCACCGCUUCUGUUUCCCGGAAAGAAAAGCAACCAAAUUUAUUUCACUUGGUUUGGACUACUGAAUUUCAGCUCCGUGUCAGCACGCAAAAUUCAAACCUCUUCCAUGUAGACGAUAACUAUGGUCGCACCUUGAUCUGGGUUUUGCUUGAAUUCCUCAAAUAUCAGAUUUUUGGGUUGUCUUCGAUUCCACAUUUCAUCGUUAGCCUUUUGUUCGUCGAUUGAAAUCCGCCACCAAAUUCCCUGAAUCCUGAUCGGAAAAUGGGUUGCUACAGCAGCAAAGAGAAUGCUCCGAAACCCGGUUCAAAGGGGCUCGGGUCAUCCCAGCCUUACCAGCAGCCGCAGACGGCUGCUCAGCCUCAGAAAAUAUCAUCCCAACAACCCCAUAACCCACCACCACCUCCCAGACCACAGCCCCAGCAGAGGGCACAGCCAGCGCCCCAACCAAGGGCACAGCACCAGCAGCCAAGCCCUCCUCCAGUAAAACCGGCGCCGCCGCCGAAUAGCAUUCUGGGGAAGCCCUUUGAUGACAUUAAGCAGUACUACACACUCGGCAAAGAACUGGGCAGGGGCCAAUUCGGUAUCACAUACUUGUGCACUGAGAACUCCACCGGCCACAGCUACGCCUGCAAGUCGAUCCUGAAACGCAAACUUGUGAGCAAAAACGACAGGGACGACAUCAAGAGAGAGAUUCAGAUAAUGCAGCAUUUGUCUGGGCAGCCAAACAUUGUGGAGAUCAAGGGGGCUUAUGAGGACAGGUACUCUGUGCAUUUGGUGAUGGAGCUCUGCGCCGGAGGGGAACUUUUCGAUCGAAUUAUAGCGCAGGGACAGUAUUCGGAGAGGGCUGCCGCUGCGAUUCUGCGUGACAUUGUGAAUGUUGUGCACAUUUGUCACUUCAUGGGCGUGCUGCACCGUGAUCUCAAGCCGGAGAAUUUCUUGUUGUCUAGCAAGGAUGAGAAGGCAAUGCUGAAGGCAACGGAUUUCGGGUUGUCUGUUUUCAUUGAGGAAGGUGAGUUGCAUUGAUUUUAAUGGUCUAUGUUCAUUGUCCAUACAAGUUGUAGAAUUUAGAACUAGAAAGCUAUGAGCUUGACCAUGGCAUUUCGAUUUGUUUGAUAUACGCAAAUGUGUUUUAAAAUCUCCAAUUUUACUAGUAUUAGUUUUCUGUGAAUUGUUAUUCCUCUAGUUUAGUUGCAGAUGUUAUAAUGGCAAGAAGUUACAUUCCGAACGGAAAGUUGUGUAGUUUACUGGGAUAUUGUCUGUAGAUUUUAGUCAAGGUUUAGCUAGUAAGAGUGGUCAGCCUGCGCCAUUUCCUACCUUACGCAGUCUAGCUAAUCGAAUUAUGAUGUUAUAAACUACUUUAUUCCUUUGUAAAGCUUUUCGAAAAUUUUCGUUUUCAUUUGAUUGCUUUGCUUCAGUCAGGUAUAUAAUAAUCUUAAGUUUGAAUCUGGUGGAUAAAUUCUAGUGUAAAAUGACACCUGCUUUGUCCUCAUCACAGGAAAGGUGUACCGUGAUAUAGUCGGCAGUGCUUACUAUGUUGCCCCUGAAGUCUUGCGGCGUAGUUAUGGAAAGGAAAUAGACAUUUGGAGUGCAGGAGUCAUUCUGUAUAUUCUACUCAGUGGUGUACCUCCAUUUUGGGCUGGUAAAUAUGAAUUCAGUGUAUUCUUGCUAAACAUUCACUGUUCUCUUAGGUUUAGUUGUCUUAUCAAUAUAUCUCGCUCUUUACAUUGCAGAAACUGAGAGGGGUAUAUUCGAUGCCAUAUUGGAAGGAGUAAUAGACUUUGAUAGUCAACCAUGGCCAUCAAUAUCAGACAGUGCUAAAGAUUUAGUUAGAAAGAUGCUGACACAGGACCCAAGAAAGAGAAUUACUUCUGCAGAAGUUCUCGGUAUGUUACCUCUUAAACAUUAUUUUAGCUGGAUUGAAAGUUACAAUGAAGUAAAACAUGUGUAAAAUAUCGAUGAUAUCGGAAAUAUCGGUAGUCCAAAAAUACGGAAAUUUCGAUGGAAAUAUCGGGAUAUUAUCGAUGUCGAUAAAAAUUGAAUAAAAACCACGGAAAUUGUAAGAAAAACUUGGAAAUUUUUAUUGAAACUUUGCAGCAUGUUUAUUUAGUCAAUUAUCUAUUAGUUUAUCACAAAAAAUUAGAAGGAAAUGCAUUGCAUGAUGGAUUUAAUUGAUUUAAGUUGAUUAUAUAGCGAGCUGGCAAACAUUGUGAGUGUAGAAAAUAUGUAGUAAUUAAUGAAAGAAGUUUAAACACAUCAUAAUCAUUUAUAUAUAAUGAAUUAGUACAAUAUUUUACAUUUUAUACAUUGCAUGGUAAGAUAGACUUAGUACCACAUAGAGUUCCUAUCAAGGUCUAAAAUAUCGAUGAUAUUGGAAAUAUCGGUAGUAAAAAAACACGGAAAUUUCGAUUGAAAUUUCGGGAUAAUAUCGAUAUUUUAGACCUUAUAAUCGAUAAUUUUCCUCUGUCUGAUUUAUAGGCCAUUCUUCUCAAGUGUUUCUUUGUUAUAAACUCUUUGAAAUGACAUCUUUUUCACAUGAUAGAAAGUAGGCCUUGUGCUGGCAUUCAAGGGAUAAUCCGAUGUUUUAGUUUUUUUUUUUCUUCCAAAUUUAGCAGUUAAAUAGAAGCUGAAAGGAUAAAUAUACUGCAUUACAAUAAUCGACUUUUAGCCACAUAUUACCACCAGCUUUUGUUUUGUGGGUGCUUUUGACUGAUGUUUAAUAUUCUGUAUGGUCAGAGCACCCGUGGCUCAGAGUAGGCGGAGUAGCAUCAGACAAGCCAAUAGAUAGUGCAGUUCUCUCUAGAAUGAAGCAGUUCAGGGCAAUGAAUAAGCUCAAGCAACUUGCUUUGAAGGUAAUUUUUCGGACUAUGUUCAGAAGCUCCUAUCUUCACCCAAUAUUGGCAAAGUUUCCAGAGAAUUCCUUCUUACCUUCAACUGUCUUAUUCCCGUAAUAAUCUUUUUUCAUUUGAAAAUUUCCCCCAGGUCAUAGCAGAGAAUCUAUCUGAAGAAGAAAUUAAAGGCCUUAAAACAAUGUUCACCAAUAUGGACACUGACAAAAGUGGUACAAUAACUUACGAAGAACUGAAGACAGGUUUAGCGCGUAUUGGGUCACGGCUGUCAGAAGCCGAAGUUAGGCAACUCAUGGAUGCUGUAAGUAGUUACCGAUUCCUCAGGAACUCAAUUCUGUUGCUUCUGGCAAUUUUGUGAUUUAUCUGUAACACAUUUCAGGCUGAUGUCGAUGGAAAUGGAUCAAUUGACUACAUUGAAUUUAUAUCUGCUACUAUGCAUAGACAAAGAUUAGAAAGAGAUGAGCACCUGUACAAAGCAUUUCAGUACUUUGACAAGGAAGCAGCGGGUGGGUUGACAAAAUUUAUUGUGUGAUACUUUCUGCAUACUAAUGUCUUACUGGAUUUCUGUUUUUGAUCAAGUCAAAUUCAACCACUUGAUCCUACUGCGCGAAAUAAAUUACUUUGGAUAAAUUUCUCGUUAUGAUCAUACUAGAUGUGUGCUCAAACAACUAUGCGCAUAUUGAUUCAUAAAUUUAGUCUAGCCUUGUGAACUUGCAAGCUUAAAUCGAUCCAACUUGUAUGUCAGGCAUAAGGUUUAUUAGCUUGUAAUAUCAUGAUUUGCAAGGAGCCAAACUGUUUAUAAAUAUAUGUUUUCAUCACUCAGUCAUAAGGCGAAAGUUAAUGAAGUUCCUUACCGAGUUGUCAAUUUCCACUGACAGGUACAUUACAAGAGAUGAAUUAGAGGCUGCUAUGAAGGAGCAUGGAAUGGGUGAUGACAACACCAUCAGAGAGAUAAUUUCUGAGGUUGAUGCCGAUAAUGUAAGUUACUUACGACUUCCAAAUAUCUGGAACUUUUUCUUAGUCAUGUUUUAUACUGAUUUACUUUGGACCAAAUAGGAUGGGAGGAUCAACUAUUCGGAAUUCUGUGCAAUGAUGAGAAGUGGGGCUCAACAACCAGCAAAGCUCUUUUAAUUUCACUAACGGGCAUUUCAGAAUUUACAAGCGGAAGUGAGUUUAACCGUUAGGUCGUAUCAGAGCAUUGUUUCCAGGAGGUAUGAAGUAAACUAGACCAAUCUUGAUAAAAAAAAAUGGGCAGUUUGAGCAUGUGAAGCUAGACUUUCGUGUUGGAUUAAUCAGGUUGUGUUUCUGUGCAUCGAUUUACAGGUUAUCUUUUUUUUUUUUUUUUUUUGAAGUUCCUGUUCAAUCUUGUUAUGAAUAUUUCCUGAAUAUACUACAAUUUUAAUUAAUUUAAACUGAUCUUGCUACGGUCACUCACCCACAGGCCUUGAAUUGAGCACACACUAGAAGUGAAUGAUAGAAUCUCUCUAGCUUCAGUUGUGCAGCUACUAGGAUCGGAUAUGAUUGAAGUUGGGUCCAAGCAAAUUCUAUCGAGUCUCAGUCUUCCAGAUGGAAUCCGGAUCCUCUUUGUGAGGAUCUAAGGAUUCGUGAAUCGUGUCCGUUCAUCGUACAUCAUAUGGUCAAAAAUCAUUUUAAAUUAAACACAAACAGUACUUAACAAAAACUGACCGUAUAAUAUAUGAUGAACGUACACGAUUCACGGAUCUUCACCAAAAGAUCAGGAGAGGAUCCUGUUGGUUCUAGAUGAGACUUGUAAGACCCAACAUGUUAGACUGAUGUCCAAUUUAACAAGUCUAGUCCCAGCAUUUAUAAGUCCACACAAACAACGAAUAUGACAGUAAUUAACCACUUGGCUCAAUUCUUGAACUUCAAUUAAUCCUUUUUUAAUUUUUUUGGCACACUCCACAAGAGAAAAACAAAAUAUACGUACGAAGGGUAUCCACUUGACACCCUUCAAUCACAGGAUCUCUUGUUAGAAUACUAUUUAUUUGUCUUGAAAAUUAGAAAGCCAGUGAAUCAAGGGGUGUGUACUCAAUUAUUGUAGGACUUCUACAGCACAGUUUCCAUACAAACCCUGAAGAAACAUUUCUUAAUGGUUACCAUUUCGGGCGCCCACGGAUUCAAUCACAUACACCUCGUCAUUCGUAAAACGUCUCUCACAAAAACAUAGGUGUAUUGGUUCUGCACAACUCCAUGCGAUCCCAUCCAAUUUGAGGGCUCUCAUAGUUCCGAAAAUUUGCUCUUUUAGCACCAAGGCGACACUGUCAUGAGAUUAUCUGUAACUCUAGAGUUUUUUAUACAAGUGAUACUGUGAGAGAAAAACCGAACUUAGGACUUCUAAUGCAGUGAUAAACUCUCUCAAUCAACCGAGCUACUAACUCCUUGUUACAUGAACACUAAGUUAGGAAAGAGCAAAUGAAGGUGCCCAAACCAAAAGAUGGAUUUUUGUUUAAAAUUAGAAGGAUGGUAUCCAAAGUUUUUACUUUUUAGCCUUCAUAUUCCCUGACACAAAUUGCAUUUGAAGAGACAAAGCAUUCCCACGUGAGGUUGUAAUAUUCUAUCAUGCUACCCACUGACCAUAUAUACUGUGCACGUGUGCAGUGCACCCCCAUCUUUUUUAGGAAAAUGAUCCUCUCCGGAUCUUUUUGUGGGGAUCUUGAUGAUCAAUAAAUUAUGUUCGUUCAUCGUACAUCAUGCGGUCAUAAAUCAUUUCAAAUUUAAAAUUGAAUAUAAAUAGUAUCUAACGAAAACUUAUCGUACGAUGUAUGAUAAACGGACACGAUUGAUUGAUCCCCAAAUCCCCACAAAAAGGAUCCGAAGAGGAUCCUUUUCCUCUUUUUUAUACAUCCAGGUGAAAAGAGGUUAAUGGGAUUACCCACGUCAAGACAGACCUCAAAUUUCCAAGAUCAAAUUUUCUGCACUCAUUUUAUAUAUGGUCUAACGGAAACAGAAACAUACACACUUUGGUUAGGAUUUAAUUAGUACUCGACACUAACUUGAAACGGUACACGAACUCAACACGAUGCAGCUCGAUUCUCAUCCUUGCGUGCGCUCGUGAAACUCGUUCGUUUCCGAUUAUGUGCAAAGCUGGUUUAGCUUAGCAGUGUGAUUAACAUAAUCUUCAAGGAACAGAAGCAUACAAAAGAUGACAGACUGGUUUGGUGAGGUAAAGUGAAGGAGGGGUUAUGAUAUAUAAUGAUAUAUAAUGAUAUAUUAGAUAUGUGUUUACUUGGUGAGGAAACUAGGUACUAUUAUUUAAAUAGGAAAAGUGCAUAGGAUGCUCUCUAAUCCUGCAUUACUGAGAGAUGGGGCACCUGCAGCUUCACCACUUCCAUAACAAGACAAUUUCCUUUAUUUAUAUUAGUUCACAACUGUGACUGUGAGUUGUUGUCACCAAAUUGUGAGACUCAAAGCUCGUUUACAAAAAUAUUAAAUAAAAAAAAUGGUGAGGCCUUGUUGGAUUCUUAUUAAAUUUUAGUAUUCCAGAAAAAUGAUAUAAAUUUGGAUUGGAAUCAAUCAUUUUCCAAAAAUGUAUACUUAAAAAUGUUGUGGUUACCAACUUCAUUCUUUUUAAAAAAGAUUAGUUGGUGGCUUCACUACGAUUGGAAGCCAGAAAGACUUAUAGAAGUACGUCAGCCAUCUGCUACCAUUAUGUGAUUUAUCAGUAUUAAAGAUUGAACUGAAGACGUGUCGGGUGAAAUACAAACUUGAAAUUCGUCCCCGAUCAUUGAGACAACCCGUGAUAGUUGUUAUGAUUAUCUACUUUGAUAUGAGAAAAUAAAUUAGUGAAGAGAAAGGAUCUCUGCACAUUAUUCAUCUUUUUUAUGUAUACUUGUGUUUAUUUUUAUUUGAUUUAUUCAGUCUAAAUAUCAUAAAUAAAUAUAAAAACGUAACAAAAAAGAAUGUGAAAAUCACUUUGAUAGAUGAAUAGAUUUGAUGUAGAGUGAGUAACACUGAAGUCUAAUGAGAGAGGAGGGAGAGAUGUGCACGUGCAAUUGCAUGUCUGCCCCCUCGCCGCUCUACUUUUCCAAUUUACAAACUGAAACAAAAGCCAAGCAACGAAAGAAAAACCCUCCACUUUUUGCAGUUUUUUGCUUCAUAGGGUAUUCAAAUCUUGCUUAAAUAUGUUAUCUUUCUUCAGAAUUCAUUUUCUCUAAGGAUUUAGUUCUUAAUUGGUGUUUGUCUAAUCAAUGGUGGAGCUUCACUCUUGUGCUCCUCGGUAAAUUCUUCUGCACUGUGCGCUAUAGAGGAAGGAAUGAAAGGUGAGAGCGUCAAUAUCGUUGCAGAGAUUUCGGCCGAACUCGAGAGGGAACGGCAGAAGAAUGCAGAACUCAUGGGGAGGAUACUAAUUCUUGAAGCUCAAUUACAAGAACGAGAGAAGAAGGAGCCUCCACAUCGAGCAGACGGACAAGUAAGACCACCAUUUUUAUUUUUUGGUUGUUUCUUUGUUUUUAAAUAAUUGUUAGUGCACUUUAGCAGUGUUUGAGAACACUUCUGAAAUGGCUAAGAGCGCUUUCUGACAACUAAAAACACUUCUAAUGAGUAGAGCAAAUGUUAAUGCCACACCCAUUAUUUGGAUGCAGGACCGUUCUUCCAAUGCAAUGACAAGAAACUUAAAGAAGUUCAAGCGACGGAAGACAGAACUCGACAACAAUGGAAUCGAAGAUGGAAAUGUUAUCCCAACCGUAAUGGCUUUGCAGAAGAAGCACCACAAGCAAUGCUUGGCCCUUAAAGAUCGAAUUCUGGAAGACCGUCUAGUCAACUGGAUGAGCAUGGAGGAAACUCAGUUUUUGCAUUUAGGAAAAGUUAAAGAUGGCGGAGAUUCAGCAGACUGCGGUGUCACUGAUGAUAGCGAUGACGAAGAUGAUGAUUACCGGGAAGAGGAUUAUGUUAAUAAUGCCUGUAAAGAAGGGGAAGUUGCUGAUGAUGUUUCAAGAAUUGUUAGUGAACCGAAAUGUGAAGUUGUUGAUAAGGGAUUGGAUGCGCAAUGUGAAAUAGUUUUUGCAGGUGGGAACGAGCCAGUGAUUCCAAAUGCGAACCAAGAAACGAAUGAACCACCCGAUACAGGACCAGUUUGUGAUGAGAUGCAACUUCACACCGGAAACAAUAAGGAACCUAGUGAUUUUGGAAGUGGCAAGGUGCCAUCUGAUACCCUUAAUUUCUCAGAGUUUUCCAUGCAGGAUCAACAAGCACAUCGCAACAGAAAAAACCUCCGAAGGUGGCAUUCUGCCCGAAAGAAGUGAAGAGAAUAAUUGAUUCAGAAGCCCUGCUGCAGAAAAAUGCUCAAUCCCACACAAUGAGGAAGAUCAUAGUUUUCGCAUCACUCGGAAUAAGGCACGGCUGUGAAGAUAUAUACGAAUUAGACUUCAAUCAUUUCAGCAUUUUAAGGAAGGGAGAACCAUUCGUGUCUUCGAAAGAUCCUGGGGUAAGGAAAUUUAGCGUUAUGCUUGCUCUAGUUCUUGUCCUUGCACAAAUAGUCUUUCAAUUCCCUUUCAUUGCGACAUUUAACAUAAAUGAUUUCUGUGACAUGUUUUAUUAUCUUAAUUUAAUACUAGGAGCAUGUUCUGUAUGAGAAUCCCGGUGUUCGGAGGAAAGUAUUUUACCCGAACCAACAGAACCCGACAUUAUGUCCUGUUAAAAUACUCGAAGAAGAGAAGGCUAUGCGACCAUCGGAUUCUAGCUGCCCAUCAUGGCUAUUUCUCUGCAUAAAGUAUGGCGGAAGAACACGAAAUCUUCCCCAAAAUGAGUAAGCAUUAUUGGAGUCAUUAACUUUUAAGUCAGCAGGGAUUUCUGUUUUGCAGCUUAACUUAAAAAUUUUAUCUGCAUAAAUAUGUUUCAGAUAUGUCAGGCAGCGUAUGGGAAGAAACAAGCUGAAGUCUUUCGGGCCACUAAUGUGUCGAAUGGCAAUGCUCGUUCAUGUUCGCAGUGGGAGCUUCUUCUUCAAGACCUUGGGCAUCACUCUUCUUUUCAUGGCUGGUUUUCCUGAUGAUCUGGUUCAACGAGAAACUAAAUACCGGAACUUAGACUUGCUUCAGAAGUAUUAUAGGUAUUUCAUCCUAAGAUACUACUAGGAAAUGAAUAUUUAUGGAAAAGCUAUUCGGAUAGUUUUUGUAUCUUCGAAAAUUUGUGAAUUCUAAAGCACGACGUGAUUUUCCUUGUAGGACGGAUGAGGAUGCUGAAGAGGAGGAAUUAUUUCUUCCACAUCCUAUGACUAGUGAUACUGUAAGAUCAACUUCCCGGUUCAUAUAUCUGAGCACUUCCUAGUUUCGACUUAACGUUGACAAAUAUAUUCGAGUUUCUGAAGACUGAUGUUGUUUUCUUUCAGCAGGCUAGUCCCAGUUCUCAGCAGUUCUGUGGCAAGUCUGGUUCAACAAAAACAAAGGCGAAAAAACAAACUCACCCAAAUAGCAAGCCUAACAUACAGAGAUCGUCAUUCCCACAGACUGCACUUUUGAGUUCUGCACCUCCUACACAAUUUGGAGGUCAUCAGACCUCUAUUCUUCACGCUCAAGCAAUGGCAACAUUCCUGUCUCAGACGCCAUUAGAUGCUCAACCAAUCCCAAACAGUGCAAUCGCGAAUGCUGGUACGAGUAUCUCCUACUCUGGUCAAACCCCGUAUCACAUUUUUCCACCACAACCAGCAAACACCUUUAUGCCUAUGGUAUAUUGGCCUCCCCCAAACACAUUUUCUCCGGGACCUUAUCAAUCUACAUAUGGGUACCAAUCUUUCCCUUCUACCGGAAACUACUUCGUCCAUCCACAGCCCUAUUACAACCACCCGGCUUGCAGUCCAUUGAUCCCUAAAAUGGUGGAAGCAGCAGGAAAAAAUGGCGUGGCCUCGGCGGAAGCUGAUAGUGGCUACGAUUGCAGUUCAAGCAGUACUGAACCAAAGAAGAAUUAGCAUAUCUGUCUUCCUUGUAAAUUACCAUAGCUUGAGCUACCUUAUUCUUAAUAAAAGACAGAUGCAAAGUGAUGCAUUUUUGGUCCUCUGCUUCGCAUCAUCCGCUAUGUAAUUUUCAAAAUUCGUGACGUUCAAUUUAGCUUCUGCUAAGUUCACAGUGGAGAUAGUACAUAGCACACUUCACUUUAGUCAUUGCAUCUGCAACGCCUUUUGCAUCGCGGUAAGGUAGAGGUUUUGUUCAAUUCCUCUAUCUUGUCCUCAAUACAAGAAAAUAAGCCUCAUUUUUGGUUUUUGUGACAGAUCUCGUCGUCAUUUUAACUCAGAACAUCCAGAACAGAACAACCAAGCACCAAGAUCUUUAGCAGGGCAUGCUUAUGAAGCAGCAAGAUCUAAGCGAUCAAUGAACCAAAGAUAUCCGAUUCCCCAAGCAACGUCAAGAUUUUCACCAUCCUUUUUCGGGGCAAUGCUGAUCAAAGCCAGAUUUCGUUCUCUUUUACUUGGAAAAUCACACAUCACUGGAAAAUAUCCAAAUAUGCAUGAAUUAAUCACACAAUUACAUGUCAAUUAAGCUAAUUUGACAAAGUAGGGAUCUUCAUUGGCAUUAAAAGUCAGCACAUAACAUUCGAAAUUCAUAACAUUUUGCUAGCAGAGCUAAGCUUGAUUAGGGUUGUACUAAUACCAACUAAAUACUACCAUUUCAAGCUAACUAGUCCCAAUUCAGCAACUCCGCCCCAACGGAACUCGAUUUCCGGCCUCAAACCAAGUACGUCUGCGAAGGAUCAAUCUUCUCCUUGGAAACAAAGCACACAAAAUCAGGAACCUCCUCAAAACCAUAAGACAACACCAGAGGUUCUUUCAUAACCACGAAGCCCUCGGGCCCUAUCGCAACCUGGUAGCCCUCCUUCGUCAGCUGACUCACAGAAAUCAAAUUCCGCUUCAAACCCGGCACGUGCAUCACAUUGUGCAGCACCCACCGAGCCCCACUCGGUAACUUGACACGCACGUCACCUCUUCCAACAAUGUCCAAGGCCGCAUUGUUUGCCAGGUACGCCUUGCCGUAGUUUCCGGCGGUGUACUUCUCCAUGAUCCCCUGGAGCGGCGAGCAUUGGAAGGCGGCGCGCCGGGGGUGGUGAUCCACGACUCCAGCGGGCUAUCGACGGUCAAAAACAGAGCUUCGUUGAUCACUUCGAUGGUGUUGGCGGCCCCAACGGUGUGCUUCUUGAGCCUGCAAUUCUGGCUGACGUGUCCACAUUUGCCGCAGUGCAGGCAAGCGUCCGCCCAUUUUCCGAGACCCGAAUCCAUUGCAGAAGUCCUGGAUUUUCUCUCUCGCGAAGAAGAAACCCUAACUGCGAUUUGAUCGGGGCAUUUGUCGUUCCCAAUUCCAAAGGGUUCGGUUUAUAUAAGGGCUUAGGGUAUCUUGGGCUGCUGAGACUAGGAUUCGGAUCAGGCCCAUUGGGCCUGAUGAGUGAACAUAUCCAUUUGACAAUUUUUUCCACCAACAUAUUUUUUCGGCUUAUAUACAUCUACGCCCCAUGAAACUCAAUUUGAGUCUUAGUGAAUCCCUUGAAGCUCGAAAUGUGUUGCUUAUUCUCUUUAUGGUGCUUAACUUCAUUUAUAUCUCUUAAAUUUAAUUGAGUCUCACUUAACUCUUUUAAGGUUAAAUACUUCAUUGAAGCCCACACCCUCUCUCUCAUUAUAGACCUUUGCAACCAAGUGUGCGAUAAAUUAUUGAUUCAAAGGCUACGCUCCUGAAGGUCUUUGAAACCAUCUCAAAUAGGGUUCCCACGGAUGGCAUACCCAUUCGUACCAUCUCAACAGCUCCCUUGCUUUAGUUCUACGAAACUCGAAUUAUGUCUCAUAUUUUCAUUCCCCGUUCGUCCGCUAGCAAAUUUGUUAAAGCUGAUGAUGUGGAAUAAAUGGGACACAUUUUUCUCAUUUCAACAUCUUCAUUAAUAUAGAAGUAGGUUAAAUAAGUUAGCCAUAACAGUGUGACCCUCCUCGUAUACCCAAAUUUGAUUCCCUCUUCAAAAUUCUUCCUCAUGCAUCCGGAGUAGGCUUAUUGGACGUGAGCAUUCACGAAUUGGCACAAAAACUCAAACUCAAGUCAAAAUGGCCUUAUUAGGGCACGACGGGUGCCCCUUUUCACAAUCUUUUCUUUAGUUUAAUGUCUUCAUUAGCUAGGUAUACAAUUAUCAUGGACCUUGUAUCUAUUGGCUAAAUAUGCGACAAGGAAUAUCAAUUGCGGAUGAGCAAUAGUGCACAAGAUAAUAAUGUAUUAUAUGUGAAAGAGAGAAAUUUCGGUAAAUUGCUUAAUUACGAUAAUUCUUAUACAACUUGUGAGACUUACGUAGAGUCGAGUGAGAUCAAAAUACAUGAGAGUCUCAUACUUUUGUAAAAAGUGCUUGAUUAUAAAUGACGCGGUCCAUGGACUCAACAUCGAUCCAUAUACCCAAGUUGUUUCACAUCUAAGAACAAGAGAUUUUUCAAUGUGCUUGAAAUAUGAGACGACACCACAUAUGUUAUUAUAGGAUCAGGGUCCUCUCCUGAGCAAAGGGUGAGGAUCCUCUUGACCAAGCCCAUCGGGCCGUUGAAAAUUUAUCCAACGGUUACAAUUAUUAAAACUUUUAGAGGGGCCCCCUGUUUGUAGCCGUUGAAUAAAAUUUCAACGGCCUUAUGGGCUUGGUCAGGAGGAUUCUCACCCUUUGCUCAGGAGAGGAUCAUGAUCCGUUAUUAUAUAAGUGGUGAAAAGUUUUUUCUUUAGGUGUCACUUUACUUAUAUAAUGACAUAUCACGUAUGUGUCUGUAUUUCAAACAUACUGAAAAAUCUCUUUCUACUAAUUAUCAAUGUGUAACAAUCUGUCUCUAGGAUUCACAUCUAAAGACAUUAGGAUUAGAUCCAAUGCCAUCUGUUGCCAUUUGAGCUUUUCAUAUGCUUUCUUUCCUUUUAUAUCAUUGCUUGUCUUGGCAUUUUCUAAUUAUUUAAAAUCAAUAAUGCAAAGCUUGUAGAACCAUCCUCUAAUUAUUGAUUCUGAAGUCCCUUUCUUUAUACUACCGACCCACCAACCGAAAUUUAAUUAGUCCACUUAUCGCUUAUCUCCUUUAUUUGAGAUUCAGAAUCUUAUCAAUAAUUUAAAUGAUAUUAUUACACUAGGAGGAGAGAAAGUUUGGUUAAGUCAUACAACGAGUAACCUAAUUUGGUAUCGAAUUUUCCAUUUACUAGAUUCAAAUCUAAGACCUCUCACUUAUAAACGAAGAGAAAUAUCACCAUACUGUAGUACUGACUACUGAGUAACAACAAUACUAUUACUUUAAACAAUAUUAAAAAGAGAGGGUUUGAAUAUGAUAAAUAAAGAAUUAUAUGUGAUUUAUACAAUCCACCACGUCAAAUUAGUCGAGCAUAACCAUAAACGAGGCCGCGGGAUGGGUUUUGAUUAUAUAAUUAGUUUCACAACAUCAUCAUGAUGUGCGAACGAUGCUUAAUUUGCAAACAUGAAUCAUCAAUAAUUAUUGAAAUUCAUACAUCAUAAUACAUUUUAAAAGUUCAAACCAUCCAUAAAUACAUACACACAUCCCGACAUCCAUCCACCAUGUCCAUCUCACCCCAAGAGAAGAAGCCAAAAGAUACAACGAAACCCUGCAUCACAAGCAGUGCAUCACGAACAAGGGCAAACAUGUACAACAAACCACAUACCCUUUAACCCUAGCACUGACCAACUUCCAUAAAAACAAAACAUACAUCUAGGUGAAAAAAAUAAAGCAUCUUAUUAUCCAGCAACUUGUCGCACACAAUUUCUCCAUUAGUUGCAUAACUUAAGAAGAUAAGUGCUUCUUGGAAAAGCUGCUUUUUUCUAGUCGGAUCUUGUUGGCAACAUUGCACUGCUGUCGGAUCUCGCCCUUGUUUCCAGUGAGAGGGUUGUUCUCGGAGAGAAUGGUGAAGGCUCUCGAAAACUCCUUGAAGAAGUAGUCUUGGCUCUUGGCCAUUUUCUUGACGUAGGGUUUUGUCCUCUUGUCCGUGGCUAGCUGGUGGUCCACCAUCAUCAAACCCUUGUUGUCCAAGAUGUUUCUGUAGUAGUUAUUAUCGAAGAUCAUGGGGGUACCACGGUCAUUUCUCACGUACUGAACGGCUUUGGGGUCGGGGAUAGCAUCAGGGCACUUCUUGAGCAUGUGAG
rnacentral:lncRNA from 1 species